GUUUAAUUGCCACCUUAAAUCAAAAUAGAAAACCAUUGUUGGUUUUCAUUAUAGCAGUCCAACACUUAAAAAAACUAAGCAGCAGAAUGACUCACUUUUCUCCUUUAUUUUGAUUAGACUAGUUGAGAAACUCCACAAAUUCACCACUGAAUGCAAGCUCUCCUAGCAUAAAUGGGCAUUUUCCUUGUAUAAAGCAAUGUUGGUAGAUGUAAAUAAUACACCUUUUAUCUCCAAUAAAGCCUUAGAUGGAAAGGACUGAUGGCUCAAAAGGUCUUCAUGAAUUGAGGAAGUAGAAAAGAAAGUAUAGCAUCAAUCCUUCAUUUGGCAAAUCAUUCUGAGAACUGGCUAUAAAUAAGGUUCUUUGCUUUGCCACUUCUUAUUAUCUUAGCCAAAACUAAAUUGAUUCAAGCCAACAUAAUAAUGUCACAAGAUUAUUUCCUUAUGCCUCCCCUUUAAACUAAAUGGCAAGAUAAACAUA
rnacentral:misc_RNA from 1 species